rnacentral:lncRNA from 1 species
AAAAAAAUAAAAAAAUGGCGAAUCUCAGCAAAAGCAAAGGAACACCCCCAAUUUGAAGAGUGAAAUGGCAGCCCCUUCUUUCACUGUAUUGAUCUUUUCAUCUCAUUUGUGAGAGUCUAGGAUAAAGUCCUUUUGGGGAAGAGAACAACAACCAACAACGAGAUUCCAGGAGCUAAAACCCAUCCUUCACCCAACCCAUGAAUUUUUUUAUUUUACAACAAUGGAUCAGUGCAGGGCCAAUAAUUGUCUGUUUUAACUCUUAACACCAGCGACCCUUUGCUGGAAAUCAAAUUACCUAUCACGCUUCGGUAGAUAAUGGCGUGUUCAGUUGUUGGGCUCCAUUAUUCUUUUGCUCUCCAAAUUCUGCUUUUGAAUCCUUCAUAAAUAAGUUUUCUACUUUAAGGGACUGUGGACUGCUGCUGGAUCUUUGUUGCAGAGUCUGCCAACCUCUUUUUUUAGCUCAAUAAGAAUUUUGGUUUGAUUUAAGGUAACAUCCAAGCUUUCUGUUACGGUAUUACAAUAUUUUAGAUUUUAAUGUCUUUUGUUAUUGUUUUUAACGCCAUUUUGUUGAC